CCCAAUCUAAUGGCUGGUGUUUUUUAUAAGAGGAGAAGACAGAGAGAGACACACAAGGGGACUGUUAUAUAAACACAGAACAGAGAUUGGAACAAUGCGUCUACAAGCCGGGGAGCACCAAGGACUGCUGGCAACCACCAGAAGCCAGGUGAAUGCCUUGGAUCAGAUUCUCAGAGCCUCCAAAAGGAACCAGUCCUGCUGACACCUCAGUAUCUGGCUUCUGGCCUCCUAAACGACAGGCCUUUUGAAAAGAGAUCAUUUCUGAGAUGAACCCAGUCUGGUUGCUGCCCACAGUACCCUGAGGCACAUGAGAAGCCUGCCCCUUGCCAUGCUGGAGAGGCUCUUCCAGACAGAGUUUCGCUGUUGUUACCCAGGCUGGAGUGCAAUGGCGUGAUCUCCGCUCACCGCAACCUCUACCUCCUGGGCUCAAGCAAGUCUCCUGCCUCAACCUCCCGACUAGCUGGGACUACAGGUGCGCGCCACCAUGCCCAGCUAAUUUUUGUAUUUUUAGUACAGACAGUGUUUCACCUUGUUGGCCAGGAUGGUCUCAAUCUCUUGACCUCGUGAUCCACCUGCCUCAGCCUCCCAAAGUGCUGGGAUUAUUGGCGUGAGUCACCGCACCUGGCCAUUUCUGUUGUUUUAAGUCGCCAAUUUUGUGGUAAUUUAUUUCAGUAGCCCUAGGAAACUAACACACCACUACCUACUAUUUCUGUACCCGUUUUUUGCUCUAACAAGAAUACAGGUCCCACAGAUGUCAGGAAUCUCAGUCUUAUUUCUCUUUGGAUUUUCCUUUGCAGAGUGCUUUGACACAGAGACAUUUAUUAUAGAUUUGCUGCAAUGAAGGCAUUGAUAAUUAGCUUUAAUUUGAAAUCACUUCAGAGCAAAUUGGAAAUUUAUAAUAAACACAGAAGUGUGAAUGGAAGAAAUGAAUAAUUAUAUGCUAUUUACCUACUACUAUUGUUUCUGCCACAUAAUAGAUCCCCUCUCCCAUUAACUUCAAGUUCUCACUCAAUUAUUUGGGUCAGUUCAUAUUCUUUAGAAACAGCCUGCAUCUUUAUUCAACCCAUUUAAGCUUCAUCUCAUGGAGUGAACUGAUUAAACAAAAACUAAGUAAAAUAAAAACAAUUCCAAAACUGCAAGUAAACAGGAAAUUAUUAAAAAAUUACUUGGAUAAUGGAUAUUCAGAAGAAUGUAAUUAUAUUUUAAUUUAUUGGUAGAGAACUAAUUGUUCAAUUAUUAGAAUACACAAAAGGAAAGAUAACGUGGGUCUUGUUUUAUGAAGUAUUGUGUGUGUGUGUGUGUGUGAGUGUGUGUGUGUGUGUGUGUGUGUGUGUGUGUUUGAAUUUCUCAGGGCAGAGUUCUGUGACUAAGACCUUUAUUUUAUUGCAUUUUUACCUUGACCAUUUAUUUUUAAAAUAUCUCUCUGUUACUUAGGCUGAAAAAAGCUUUUGGAGAUAAACUAUCAUACAAUAAAAAGAAUCUUAUUCAACAUAUAAAGUGGUAUUAAUUUAAGAUGAAGAAAGUGAGAUUAAUUUAUUGAAGCAACUUAAAUGUGGGAAUGCAAAACAAGGAAUUAACUCUAUCAGUUUUGUCCAUUGUUCAAAUUGGAUUAUAUAUGUGAUUGCAUAUUAAAAAAAAGAAGUGAAAGAAAAUAUUUCUGACUUUUAUUAGAAAUUUUACGGUCUCACGUUAAACGUUUUGCAUGGAACUUUCUCUUCAGUGGGGAUUGCAAUUGUCACUUCUAAAUUAUUGCAAACUCCACUUUGGUGGGUCUCAGAUUAAUGAGGACUGACUGUGUCCUCAUUAAUAUGACUUCCCACAAAAUGGGAAGGUCAUAUAUGGACGGUGCUUUCUUGUUUCUUUCCUAAUAAGUCAUUCCCAGAUGGUGAAUUACACCCCAGAGACUGAAGUUUUUCAAGUUUGAUAAUUUUUUCCAUCUUACUUCCUGCUGAUCGAUAUGGCUACCAAAAGCAGCUUUCUGCAAUGAAUACAAUUUAGCUAAUGAGGAAAUAGGCCACACUUACCUUUGAAUUAUGAAUCCUGUGCUGAGAAAGAGGCUUCUCCAUAUGUCACUUUCAUUGGAACAACUGAAAGGAGGAUUCAUAUUAUUAUUUCAUUUUAACCAGAAUGGCUGAAGUUGUUGCCUUCCAUAUUGGUGGCAUUUUGUGUGGAUGAGUAAAUAAUCUUUGAAAGUGGAAACUUCCUGACAAUAAAAUGUUACUGGCCAGUGGCAGUCAGGAAGGGAAGGUCUGGUUCAGUCUCUUUUUAAAAAUAUUUUUGUUUCUGUUUUUUUUGAUUGACUGUGCGCCAAAUGUUUGAUCUUUAGAUGUGACAAAGAUUCUCUACUUGACCAAAUGCUAGCCAGUUUCCUGUGUGCCAUCUUUUCAACUAGACCUCAACUUUAACCUAUAAAAAUAUGGACAGACACUAACAUAGUUUUGAAUAGCUCAGUCAUAUCCACGGGAUGAUUAUAACCCCCUUUAAAGUGCCUGCCUGAGAAAACUUAAGGCUGCCAGAAGAAUGUACUGCUUGUUCCAGCUAACAUGUGAAGAGGGGCCCCUGACAACCAGUCUCUGUGAGAGUCUAGACGCCUAAAUUCAGUAAGCACCAGCUAUCAAACCUAAAUGGGUGUUGCAUGGGCCAACCCCCACUACCUGGUCUUUGUAAUUUUUCACUUCUCUGGCUCAACUGAGCUCGGCUCACCCAUCUCCCUACACCUUGAUUCUCCCUUUACAACAUCUAGU